rnacentral:rRNA from 1 species
UACGAAGGGUGCAAGCGUUACUCGGAAUUACUGGGCGUAAAGCGUGCGUAGGUGGUCUGUUAAGUCUGAUGUGAAAGUCCGGGGCUCAACCCCGGGAGGCGGGCGGAUACUGUCGGGCUAGAGUCCGGAAGAGGCGAGUGGAAUUCCUGGUGUAGCGGUGAAAUGCGCAGAUAUCAGGAGGAACACCAAUGGCGAAGGCAGCUCGCUGGGACGGUACUGACGCUGAGGCGCGAAAGCGUGGGGAGCAAACAGG